GAGCGCUGCAGUGUGGCCGUAGGACACUCUGAAGCAAUGAGUGGCCAGCUGAAGAAGACGACCAGGGGCGAGGAAGCCGCGCAGCAGAGAGCGUCGUCUUCGGAAGAACAGCAGCAGGAAAAGAUAAAUGAGGUGCGGGGUCUCCUCGACAGUCUGACGGAGGAGAUGCCGAGUUUUCUGUCGGACGCCACCAUCCGGCGUUUCCUCCGGGCGAGGAGCUGGAGCACGGAGCAGGCAACCAAGUCUCUCAAGGAGACUGUCAAGUGGAGGCGUCAGUACAGGCCGGAUGCAAUUUCCUGGGACGACAUUCCAGAAACGGAGAACGAGGCCCGGAGGACACAUGUGGCCGACUACCUUGACAAGAACGGAAGAAGUGUCCUCGUAGCAAACGUGCCAAUGAAGCAAACAGUCUAAAGUUUCAGCAAAGGAGCAGAUAAAGCACCUGGUAUAUCUCCUGGAGUAUCUCGCCACCAACUCAGCGGAUGAACAAGACGACUUCGUCGUUUGGCUGACCGACUUCCGAGGCUGGUCCAUAUCGAGCACGUCACUGUCGAUAGCCCGCGAAUCCAUGCACAUAAUCCAGAACUACUAUCCAGGGGUGAUAGCCGUGGCGAUUCCUUUCGACCCUCCCAGGAUGUUUGAAUCUUUUUGGAAGAUAGCCAAGAACUUCGUGCAGCCAGACAUGAAAGAGAAAGUGAAGUUUGUGUAUGCAAACAAGCCGGAGAGCCUCAAGAUAAUGGCUGACAUCUUUGACUUGGAUACACUGGAGUCUUCGUUUGGAGGAAGAAGCACCGGUACGGCCUUCCACAUCAACAAGUAUGCAGAGAGAAUGAGAAGAGCCGACAAGAUGAGAGGAGCAUCAAAAGAUUCAAAUGGCCACAACCACAACUGAUCUCCCUGACCAAUAGUUCUAGAAAAAUAUCUCCCUGGCCAAUGGCCCUGACUAAAUACAAGUUGCUUGUGAGCCGUACAUGAGCUUAGCUAAAGCACACGAACAGGGUAAAGAUCUACUUAUACACUAAAACAUGAAGGCGCACGUUUGAAUAUUUGCGGAAGUCUAGAAAUAUUUGCGGAAGUCUAGAAAGUAAAAGCACCUGAGAGUUUUGAAAUGGAUGAAGCUAAAAAAGCCUUGAUAUAUGGGCAUGUAAUUUCCUUUUUAGUUCAAAAUUCUUGGUUCACCAAACGAACAGGAUUUACAUAAAUUAGCACACGCAUAUCCGGGAAAACUAAUUAAGAUGUUUAAUACUAUCAUGAUUUGAAAUAGCACACAAACAUUAGAGUAAAUAACGCUCAGCAUCACAUGGUAUGGCAGAGAAGAUGUCACACUUGUGUGAAACACAUUUUUUUUCUGCGCGAGGAUUGCGUGAAACUCUUAAACUCAAAUAUCC
rnacentral:rRNA from 1 species